CUUAUUCAUUUCAUUGUUUAUAAAGCUUAUAUAAGUUAUUUUUUAAAUUUUAAAUUUAAAUUUUGCCUCACGUAAAUAAAAUAAAGAUUUUGGCUUCUAUAUCUUGAAGAAAGUCUAAAGUGUUGGAUGAUCAAGUGUUGGAUGACAAAGAGCAUCUAAUAAAAGCAUCUUUUAAAAUGAUGUUUGUUAUUCGCGUGUGUAUCUUUGUUCUUAUAUUAGCAUCUAAUGCACACAAUGCUGAAAAAUAUACAGCACGCAGUUUGAAAAUUCAACAAAGCAGUAGUUCUGAUUUUGGUGAUCUGCAAAAAAGUGUCGAUAAAAAAGAAAAGCACCAAGAAAAAACUCGAAUGAACUUGCUAUUAAAUAAGUUUUUCAAAGAUCCAGUACCAUCUCAAAUUUCCAAACCAACCCAUAAAAAGAAUGAUAAUACUCAAUCAAAAGUGCAAAACAUAAAAAAAAUUGCAAUGAAGUUCUCUCCAUUGAUAAGAAGACCAGGCCGUUUUGUUUAGUUGUUCGGAUUUUUAAAAGAACAUUUUCUUUUUUGCGUGUAAAUAACUAUCUUACAGUUUAAUGUUAUCACUUGUGAUUACUUAUAGCAUAUUUAUUGAUAAUUUUUCACGCAUAUUAAAAAGAUAAAAUGAAACUGUUAUUCGAUGUUUCUUAAAUGAUAUUUAAUAAAUGUUUUAUAAAGUUUCCUUAGUUUACUCUCUAAAUAUCGUUAGUAAACAUUGUAGUUGAAAAAGUAUUUUUUGCUCGAAUAUAUUUCAUCGAAAAAUAAUCUCGGCGUUUUACUCAUAAAUUACAUUUUAUUUAUUAAGUAUAAUUUAUGAAAAAAAUAAAAAUCACUCCAAAAUAGAUACUCAAAUUAGGUGCUUCGUUUCGUAAGCCAAUAUAAUAUUAAAAACAAAAAAGGAUUUUUUUUUUUUUGUUAUACUAAUUCAUUAACGCAAUUUUAAAGCACAUUUUACACACUUCGUUGAGAUUUUUCACGUCUAAUUCUACGUUUAGAUUCAAAAGAGACUAUUGUUUAACGAUUAAAGCUUUUUAGUCUGGUUAUUAAGGUGUUUUCAGAAGUCUUUACGGUCUUAUCACAAAACAGUGUGAAAGAAAAUUAAACUAGGAAAUUCACGCCUCCUUCCUUACCAAUGUCGGUUAUUGAGUUGGAGUCAACGUCGAGCCUGACUCAGAACCUCUUGGUUCAGAGCAAGAACUGUAACUACUGCGCCAUGGCUAAUUUGAAAGCUACGAUUAAGCUGAUAAAAUAAUAAGAAAAAAGUAUUUUUUUUUUCAUUCUGAUUCGAGUCAUCCAAGUAUAUCUAGUGGUUUGCAACUAACAGUGUUUUGCAUAUUUAAAAGUUAAAGGAUGUGUUUAAGUAUUACUUAUAAAUAUCUUUUAACUUUUUUAAUUGUAGACAUGAUAUUAGUUUCACUGAUUUGUAAUUAAUUAUUAUUA
rnacentral:lncRNA from 1 species